GUGAACUCUGUGCAGGUGUCAUGUCUAUGCAGUUCAACACGUGUAGCUUGCAUGGAUUCGACAAGAAUAUCUUAGUGGUAGCGACUAAGGAUUCAUCAGUCUUGGCCCUUGAGACAGAAACAGGAAAUAUAUUAAGCCCUUCCAGUGUCCAUCCAAAGAAACCUUCCAGAGCUUUACUUAUGCAGAUUUUGGAUGGACUUGAAAUGUCUGGUCGAGGAUUAAGCAUUUCAGAUGGUAUAGACAUUAUUAAGGGGAAU
rnacentral:misc_RNA from 1 species